CAGAAGAGAGUGACGGACAAUAUGAACCUGAUUUAUAACUGUUUCGAUUAAUGUAGACCUACUAUUAAAUCCUAACUUGGUUAAUUUUAUUCAAAGCAUUCCAGCUUCCCUAUUUUAAACUAGAUGUCAUUUGGUUAAAAUUUAAAUUGCUAUUUAUUUUUUGACAACCACACUUAAACCAUAAAAUAGUAAAUAACAUUGAGGAUUGUCAAGUUAAGGGCCAAAAUUCUCUAAUUAGAAUAAAUCACUGCCAUAUAAUUUAGGUUUGUUUUAUUACCUAGUAAAGUUUCAUACCUGGAUUCUAUCCCAGUUUUGCAAAUUAAUUUUUAGCAUUUAGUAAUAGAUUUACAAUUCCUUUUAACAGAAAAAAAGUCUAUUUUUAAUAACAGAAAAGCAUAAUUCUAUUUAAAAGUA
rnacentral:rRNA from 1 species